AAAAGAAAACAGAGAUAGUACUAGUAAUUCUUUGGCACAAAACCACAUGAAUUUCACAUAAAAUCAGUUAACAAAAACACAUAUAGUAAAUAUAUUUUUGUUUGAUAUUCAGCCAAAGAAACUGGGAUCAUAUCCAUUGCUAGAAGUAGCAAGGAUAUAAUAAGCAACAAUAUGUCCAAUAGAUCCCCAAGCAAGCACAUCAACAAUAUUGAAUCCAACUGGAUCAUUUGAUUUUAACAAACUUAUAUAUUCCUUAGCCCUAACAUCUCCAGCUUCAAAGUGAGAAAUUCCAUUCUGAGAUGGCACCUGUUUCGCUACAUUUUCUCUCUGGAAAUUGAAGAAAACGAACCUUCCAAGGAAAAGCGAAAGCCCAGUGCUCAAACUGAUGACAACGGAUGGAUUGAGUUCAGCUUUCACAGCGAGAUUUCGGGGUUUUUUGGUGAUAGGUUUGAAGGCGAUGGGUUUGUUGAGGAAGAGGGAAGAGUCGGUGGGUUUGUUGAGAGGUCUGAGACCUUGGAAAGUUGGUGCAGAAAACAGAGCUGAUGCCAUUUUUUGAGUUUGUUGUUUGAUGAAAUGCAAUGCAAAUUUGGGUGUGUCGAGGAUGAAGUUAGGAUUAGCG
rnacentral:misc_RNA from 1 species